CGCACAGCACCGCGUCAGCGCGACACACCUCAAAUAAAGUCAUUUCAAACCUGGCGAAAAAUUACGAAAGUAAGCAUUGCUUACAUUUAUAGUCAUUUUUAUAAAGUGUCGCCGUUCCUCAUCCACGUACGAGGAGAGUUAAAAUAGCAACAGUCUGCCGGCAGAAGUUCGGAUAAAACACUGGACUCACCGGCACCGAGCCACGUCUCCGUUAUGCAAAGGAAAUCCAGACAGCGUGACUCGGAAAAAUCCCUGAGUGGGAACGUUUUGUUCGCCACUGAUCUGGCGUUUACCAGACCAAUUCUGGCAGGAGAUGAGACCGGCGUGGCAGCACACCGGGUAUACCGGCUCAGCAACUUUAAAUUUGAAGGAUUCACCCCACUUUGGCGGCACCGAGCUGUACAGGUGCGGGUGCGGCGAGUGCAGGGUCUCUCAUCGGUGCCAAUUUCCGGUACAGGGUAACCCGAUGGAUCCACGGACGGCCAGAAACCAACAAGGGAACCGCUUAAUCUGUUUCCCGUCCUGGCAGCGCUGGAAGAGCACGCCAACAGUACUCUCUGCUUUACCCGCCGGCCACUACGGGUGCCGCGGCCACGCUUCCGCGGAAAGCUCAGGGCUGGAAACCGGAAGAGGGCAGAGCAAGGAGAUGUACCCGCAUCCGCCUCGGAGGUAGAAGUGUUCAAAAGCACAGCGGCAGCAGCAGGAAGACGCCAGAAUGUUCCUCUUCUUGCCUUCUAUAUUUCUAGUUAUUGUGCCACAACUGUGAGUGUUGUGUCCUGUUCUUGUUCUUCUUCAGUUUCUUCUAUCAAGGUCUGGUAGUUUAGAACUAUUUUCCAUUAAUCUGUUUUAUUCCACUAAUCUGUGUGUGGGUCAUGGGGGAAACAGUCUCAAGAGGGAAACCUCGGUGUCCAUGUGGGGUCGAGACAAAACCCGAGUCCUAGUCCAGGGGUGUCACAGUCGUUUUAGCUCAGAUGAAGGAAAAUCUGUGCACACUAUUUAGGAAUCAUGGCAUUAAAACUAAAACAUAAAGACAA